CACGUAUUCCCUCCGUCCGGAAAUACUUGUCAUCAAAAUGCAUAAAAGGAGCUGUAUCUAGACGUAUUUUAAUUCUAGAUAAUUUUUUUUAUCCAUUUUGAUGACAAGUAUUUUCGGACGGAGGAAGUAAUAA
rfam:Triticum urartu cultivar G1812 contig937272, whole genome shotgun sequence.